GGCCUGGUGGGGCAAAUGCAGGUACCAAAGGAGACAGCAAAGUCCUUCCCCAGACUGCUGGGUCCACAUCUGCAGCAUUCUGGAGAACUCCCUGCUUCCCCCUUUCACUCUGGCUUAGAGGCAAGCAAUUCCCUAUUUGGGUUGGAAGGCAACUAGAUGUGAUCCUGAGAUUACAAAGCUCCUGCUUGUUAGAAUGGCCAGCACCUGACCCAUGAAAGGUAAAGACUGUGUUAUAUCCACUUGCCACCAUUGCCUCUCAGGAUUUCAUCUCAAAUAUAUCCCUUCAUUCUGAAGCUGGAAUUCAAGAGUCUCCCCCAAAGAUCUUUGUUGGUUUAUUUUUCAGAUUAGUGGUAUGGUAACAUGACAAACACAUUCUUGACACUGGUAAAAAUUACAUUUGACCUGUGUGUCAACACAACUUA